UGUGCACAUUGUUAGAGCUUGGAGUUGAGGCCACUGACUGGCCAAUGAACUCACAAGUGUAGGUAGUGUGCUACAUGAGGGGCAAGUUUUUCGCUAACACCACAAGGGUCUCUGGCCCGAUGAGUGGAGUUUGAUAGUAAUCCUUGCUACAAGU
rnacentral:snoRNA from 1 species